AGCCUGAGAGAUCAAAGCAGGCAUUGCACCCGGAAAUCGGUUAUUCGACAGCAAUAAUUGUGCAAGAGACUUGGCAUUACUUAUUUCACCUGUUACUAGACCUUCAAAUUGAUUCAUGGUAAGAUCAAUCAACUGAAGCUUUGGCAAGGUCCAUAUACCAGCAGAGACAGUAGCAGAAAGCCUAUUGUUAUUUACCC